AGUGGGGGAUAUUGCGCAAUGGGGGAAACCCUGACGCAGCGACGCCGCGUGAGCGAAGAAGGCCUUCGGGUUGCAAAGCUCAGUCAUCGGGGACGAAGAGGACGGUACCCGAGGAGGAAGCCCCGGCUAACUACGUGCCAGCAGCCGCGGUAAUACGUAGGGGGCGAGCGUUGUCCGGAAUUACUGGGUGUAAAGGGCGUGUAGGCGGUGAUGCAAGUUAUCGGUAAAAACCCGGGGCUCAACUCCGGGCUCGUCGAUAAAACUGCAUCACUUGAGUGCAGGAGAGGGAAGUGGAAUUCCCGGAGUAGCGGUGAAAUGCGUAGAUACCGGGAGGAACACCAGUGGCGAAGGCGGCUUCCUGGCCUGUAACUGACGCUGAGGCGCGAAAGCUGGGGGAGCGAACGGGAUUAGAUACCCCGGUAGUCCCAGCCGUAAACGAUGGUCACUAGGUGUGGGGUGUGGUCAAGCACUCCGUGCCGGAGCUAACGCAAUAAGUGACCCACCUGGGGAGUACGGCCGCAAGGUUG
rnacentral:rRNA from 1 species